rnacentral:rRNA from 1 species
UACGUAGGGUGCAAGCGUUAAUCGGAAUUACUGGGCGUAAAGCGUGCGCAGGCGGUUUUGUAAGCCAGAUGUGAAAGCCCCGGGCUCAACCUGGGAACUGCGUUGGAAACUGUCAGGCUAGAGUAUGGGAGAGGGAGGUAGAAGUUCCACGUGUAGCCGUGAAAUGCGUAGAGAUGUGGAGGAAUACCGAUGGCGAAGGCAGCCUCCUGGCCUAAUACUGACGCUCAUGCACGAAAGCGUGGGGAGCAAACAGGAUUAGAAAACCCCGGGG